AGAGUUUGAUCAUGGCUCAGAUUGAACGCUGGCGGCAGGCCUAACACAUGCAAGUCGAACGGUAACAGGAAGAAGCUUGCUUCUUUGCUGACGAGUGGCGGACGGGUGAGUAAUGUCUGGGAAACUGCCUGAUGGAGGGGGAUAACUACUGGAAACGGUAGCUAAUACCGCAUAACGUCGCAAGACCAAAGAGGGGGACCUUCGGGCCUCUUGCCAUCGGAUGUGCCCAGAUGGGAUUAGCUAGUAGGUGGGGUAACGGCUCACCUAGGCGACGAUCCCUAGCUGGUCUGAGAGGAUGACCAGCCACACUGGAACUGAGACACGGUCCAGACUCCUACGGGAGGCAGCAGUGGGGAAUAUUGCACAAUGGGCGCAAGCCUGAUGCAGCCAUGCCGCGUGUAUGAAGAAGGCCUUCGGGUUGUAAAGUACUUUCAGCGGGGAGGAAGGGAGUAAAGUUAAUACCUUUGCUCAUUGACGUUACCCGCAGAAGAAGCACCGGCUAACUCCGUGCCAGCAGCCGCGGUAAUACGUAGGGUGCAAGCGUUAAUCGGAAUUACUGGGCGUAAAGCGCACGCAGGCGGUUUGUUAAGUCAGAUGUGAAAUCCCCGGGCUCAACCUGGGAACUGCAUCUGAUACUGGCAAGCUUGAGUCUCGUAGAGGGGGGUAGAAUUCCAGGUGUAGCGGUGAAAUGCGUAGAGAUCUGGAGGAAUACCGGUGGCGAAGGCGGCCCCCUGGACGAAGACUGACGCUCAGGUGCGAAAGCGUGGGGAGCAAACAGGAUUAGAUACCCUGGUAGUCCACGCCGUAAACGAUGUCGACUCGGAGGUUGUGCCCUUGAGGCGUGGCUUCCGGAGCUAACGCGUUAAGUCGACCGCCUGGGGAGUACGGCCGCAAGGUUAAAACUCAGAUGAAUUGACGGGGGCCCGCACAAGCGGUGGAGCAUGUGGUUUAAUUCGAUGCAACGCGAAGAACCUUACCUGGUCUUGACAUCCACAGAACUUUCCAGAGAUGGAUUGGUGCCUUCGGGAACUGUGAGACAGGUGCUGCAUGGCUGUCGUCAGCUCGUGUUGUGAAAUGUUGGGUUAAGUCCCGCAACGAGCGCAACCCUUAUCUUUUGUUGCCAGCGGUCCGGCCGGGAACUCAAAGGAGACUGCCAGUGAUAAACUGGAGGAAGGUGGGGAUGACGUCAAGUCAUCAUGGCCCUUACGACCAGGGCUACACACGUGCUACAAUGGCGCAUACAAAGAGAAGCGACCUCGCGAGAGCAAGCGGACCUCAUAAAGUGCGUCGUAGUCCGGAUUGGAGUCUGCAACUCGACUCCAUGAAGUCGGAAUCGCUAGUAAUCGUGGAUCAGAAUGCCACGGUGAAUACGUUCCCGGGCCUUGUACACACCGCCCGUCACACCAUGGGAGUGGGUUGCAAAAGAAGUAGGUAGCUUAACCUUCGGGAGGGCGCUUACCACUUUGUGAUUCAUGACUGGGGUGAAGUCGGAACAAGGUAACCGUGGGGGUACCUGCGGUUG
rnacentral:rRNA from 1 species